rnacentral:tRNA from 1 species
GAGGGUACAGCUCAAGUGGUAGAGCACAUGCUUAGUAUGCAUGAGGUCCUGGGUUCAAUCCCUAGCACACCCC